GCCUCCGUAGCUCAGGGGAUAGAGCACUGCUCUCCUAAAGCAGGUGUCGGCAGUUCGAAUCUGCCCGGGGGCACCA
rnacentral:tRNA from 1 species